UACGUAGGGGGCAAGCGUUGUCCGGAAUCAUUGGGCGUAAAGAGCGUGUAGGCGGUUCGGUAAGUCGGCUGUGAAAGUCCAGGGCUCAACCCUGGGAUGCCGGUCGAUACUGCCGGACUAGAGUUCGGAAGAGGCGAGUGGAAUUCCCGGUGUAGCGGUGAAAUGCGCAGAUAUCGGGGAGGAACACCUAUGGGCGAAGGCAGCUCGCUGGGACGUUACUGACGCUGGAGACGCGAAAGCGUGGGGAGCAAACAGG
rnacentral:rRNA from 1 species